rnacentral:rRNA from 1 species
CCUACGGGCGGCUGCAGUGGGGGAUAUUGCACAAUGGGGGAAACCCUGAAGCAGCAACGCCGCGUGGAGGAUGAAGGUUUUCUGAUUGUAAACUCCUUUUGUUAGAGAAGAUAAUGACGGUAUCUAACCAAUACGCACCGGCUAACUCCGUGCCAGCCGCCGCGGUAAUACGGAGGGUGCAAGCGUUACUCGGAAUCACUGGGCGUAACGCGCGCGUAGGCGGGAUAGCAAGUCAGGUGUGAAAUCCUAGGGCUUAACCAUAGAACUGCAGUUGAAACUGUUAUUCGAGAGUAUGGGAGAGGUAGGUGGAAUUCCAGGUGUAGGAGUGAAAUCCGUAGAUAUCUGGAGGAACAUCAGUGGCGAAGGCGACUAGCUGGCACAUAACUGACGCUGAGGAGCGAAAGCGUGGGUAGCAAACAGGAUUAGAUACCCGUGUAGUC